rfam:Ipomoea nil DNA, scaffold: scaffold2280, cultivar: Tokyo-kokei standard.
GUUCGUCUAGCUCAAUUGGUAGAGUGCAAGGCUCUUAGCCAUGUGGUUGUGGGUUUGAGCCCCACUGUGGGCG